rnacentral:rRNA from 1 species
GACGAACGCUGGCGGCGUGCUUAACACAUGCAAGUCGAACGGAAAGGCCCUGCUUUUGUGGGGCGCUCGAGUGGCGAACGGGUGAGUAACACGUGAGUAACAUGCACUUGACUUUGGGAUAACUUCAGGAAACUGGGGCUAAUACCGGAUAGGAGCUCCUGCUGCAUGGUGGGGGUUGGAAAGUUUCGGCGGUUUGGGAUGGUAUGGCGGGUUACCCGCUUGUUGGGGGGGUAGGGGCUGUCGCAGGGUUCGAAGGGUAGCCGGCCUGAGAGAGGGAACAGCCACAAUGGUACUGAGGGACGGCCCAGAAGCCUACGGGAGGCAGCAGGGGGGAACAUGGCGCAAUGGGCGGAAGUGUGAGGCAGCAAUGCCGCGUGCGGGAUGACGUCUUUCUGGGUGUAAACCGCUGUCGCCGGUGACGAAGAGGGAGUGACGGUAAUGGGUAAAGAAGCCCCGGCUAACUACGUG